rnacentral:rRNA from 1 species
GAUGAACGCUGGCGGCGUGCCUAAUACAUGCAAGUCGAGCGAACAGACGAGGAGCUUGCUCCUCUGACGUUAGCGGCGGACGGGUGAGUAACACGUGGAUAACCUACCUAUAAGACUGGGAUAACUUCGGGAAACCGGAGCUAAUACCGGAUAAUAUAUUGAACCGCAUGGUUCAAUAGUGAAAGACGGUUUUGCUGUCACUUAUAGAUGGAUCCGCGCCGCAUUAGCUAGUUGGUAAGGUAACGGCUUACCAAGGCAACGAUGCGUAGCCGACCUGAGAGGGUGAUCGGCCACACCUGAACUGAGACACGGUCCAGACUCCUACGGGAGGCAGCAGUAGGGAAUCUUCCGCAAUGGGCGAAAGCCUGACGGAGCAACGCCGCGUGAGUGAUGAAGGUCUUCGGAUCGUAAAACUCUGUUAUUAGGGAAGAACAAAUGUGUAAGUAACUAUGCACGUCUUGACGGUACCUAAUCAGAAAGCCACGGCUAACUACGUG